rnacentral:lncRNA from 1 species
CGGUUGGCUAAGGGCUGCGCACAGCUGCCUCCCGCAGCUCCCAGGCUCACCUGUCCGCUCUGCCCUCAUCAACUCCGCACUGAGCCCUGGGACGGCCCUUCGACAGACCGCCGCGCUGCAGAGGGUGCGGACCCACGUCUGAAGGGCUGACGCUAUGUCUGGAACGAUGGCGCUUUUGUAGUUGAAAAGCGUCAGGAUUAAACGUUGUUAGUAUUUGCUGGAGGAACCUCUAAAUCACGUCAGAAGGAAAUGAGUGCUUUCACUUUGUGGGUGACACUCAUGGCAGUGUGAUUACUUGGAAUUUGAGGUGAAAAUGCCCAGCCGGAGAGAUCAAGUCAAGACAGAGAAAAAUGAGCAGCACGUUAAAUGGGAUGCAGAAGGAAAAGUGAUGCAGAAUGAAAACUGGAAGGAUUUCCAAGGAAAGAAAGAAUGACAGAGCCUGUAGAUGAAGACUUACCUACAUGUUAAUGAGUAAAAAUCUGACCAGCAGGGCUUCUUACUGGAAAUGAGAGCUGGACUGUGGGACGGAUCAUGCAAUCAUAGAAUAUCCUGAGUUGGAAGGGACCCACAUGGAUCAUUGAGACCUCCAACACCAUACUUGUCAUUAGCCAUGGAAGCAAAGAAUGGAAUUGAGACACAGGUGUGACAACAAAAGAACAGAAAAAGAAAGAAAUCCCUCAAAAAGAAAGAGAAAAAGAAGGGAAAAAAAAAAAAGCAACAGCAAAGAAGGAAGACUCAGAUAUUCUGUCAGGAACCUGAAUGCUGCAGCAGGAUGCAUGAUUGCUGAUGUCCAGAAUAUCCGAUGUGAUAUAUGACUUGAAGAGGAGCCACAUUUCUUCUGUAAAAGAAAUGAAAUAAAAGGAGUGCUGAGCAAAAGGCACCAGGAACCACCGCCCACCUCCCAGAGUGCCAUUCCUCAACUUGGGGACAGAACAACCCCAAAGAGAAACAUACUGGUGUUCCGAGCAGUAGUGACAGGACGAUCCUGAGUGAACAGAAGAUGAAUCAGUGGGUUCCAGGCCAGUCUCUAAUACACAAGAUCCAGUUUUCCCUCAGAUGCUAAAAGGGACGCAGUUUGGGUUUGGAUAUCUGAGAAAGAGGGCAUAAAGGCAGUAAGACCUUCUGUGGGUAAGGUCUCACCUACAUCUUCCAGCCUUGAGCAGUUCAGUGCCUCUCAAGAGUUUUCUCCUGUUCCUCACUCUUGAGGGUCAUCUUAGCACACAGCUGACCCCUGCCUGAUGACACAUGGAGGAAGGCAGCCAGAAUGCUGGUGGUAGCCAUCCCUGGCAAUGUGUGAGGGAUGGAGAUUUUGUGCCAAGAGUGAGCAAGAAGCAAAACAUGGACUCUUUGCUCCCACCACCAAAUCUGUGAGUCCCUUUCCUCUGGGGUGCCUGUCCCAUCCAGGAUUACAUCCAUGCCUGAAUCUACUGGCUUUUUCAUUCCUCUCCUCUGUCCCUGUAAUGCCAAGUCACAGGGCUGCACUCUUCCCUUGCUGAGCAGUGCUGGUGUCAGGGAAAGAGGAGGAGGAAGCAAUGCAGGGAAGUUCAGAAGGAUCUGUGCAAUGAUUCUAUAGGGGCAGUUUGUCAUGUCAGCCCUGUGGACACCAACCUCAAUGCAUUCAAGAGCUCCCAGUGGGUGAGCAGAACCAAAGCACAUUAGUAGCAUCCAUCCAUCCUCUCCCGACAGCCAGGUCCCUGUGACCACAGAGGUAUGUUUCUGAAGUACUACAGAGGGCUUUUUGGUGUUAAAUUCUGUUUUUCUGGCAUAUUUAUUGAGACAUUGCCCCUCUAAGCUUUUUGAAACAUGGGCUGAGGUCAUUAGCACAGUUCGUAAUUUCAGCAGCGCUUGUGAACCUUCAGAUUUAGUUUGUUGUUUCAUCAGAGUCAUUUUCUUCAGCACAUCUUUUUUAAUUAUUUUUUAAUCCAUUCCCUCCCCACAUGCACAGACCUCACAGGGAUUUUCAUGCAUUUAAAUGAAAAAGCUGAACGGUUCCCUUUUCUUGUUCACAUUAUGCAGCAUUGCCCUUCUCUGUUCUUAUCCUAUUUCAGAGCUGUCAUGCAAACAAACCCAACUUAAAAAAAAAAAAUUAAAAAUCAUUACAGAGGUAUGCAUCCUGUCAACCCUCUGUCUUGGCUACUUCUCACUGUAUGUGUAAGGAGAAAUCCCUUCUCCUGAUUGCGCUUCUCUUUCAGGUAUAUUGACUUCUUUUUAAUCUCUAAUUCAUUAUUUCUCUGGCUCCCCAAAAUGCUCUGGUCUGCUCUGGUUGCCCAAUAAACCACUACUCCCUUCCCUACCAUGCAUAGGUAGUACUUACUUUUCCAGGGCUAUGGAACUCUUGUUUUCAUUGAUAUUUUCUUCUUCAACUAAUCUAGAAGGGGAGGAUUGUUCUUUUCUGUAAAGUCUGUUCUGUGAAGCAUGCUGUGCUGCUAGGACAACCCCUUGUCUUUUUCCACAUGUGUAUGCCUUAGCAAAGUAGUCAUUGCAACUCUUUCCUCCACAAUUUAAGUAUCUGAUUGUUUUCAAUAUUAUUUCUUACUCUUGUAUAUCAUCUGAGUCAGCUUUUAAGGAAGGCUGAGCCAGAAAACUUCAACAGGCGUUAAUAUCAAUUUCAUUUAUUUAUUUAUUUGCCAAGCCAGCUCUUAUUAGAAAUCUUCACCAUGCCAAGAAGUUACUCUCUGGGAAGCCUUUUCAUGUCCCUGAUCAAAAUGUAGGGACACUGGCUUCUGCAAGGUAAGCAGUAUGAGCUCCUGUGUGAUUUUCACAAUGGCAAUGGAAAAAAACCUUACCUUUAGCAGAGUCCAAACACAGAAGAUGCAUCCAGCUCUGGGAUUUCUUAGAGGGCAACCCCAGGAAGUAUCAUUUUUGCUUACUCUCAGCACAAGUACAUGGCUCUCAUUAUUGACUCUCCUGGGCAACAGCCAUAAACCAGGCUCAAACACAUAUAAAAAGGGGAAAGACAGCAGGGCUGUAAUGAUCAUGACAGCAAGUGGAAGUGUGAUGGGACAGGGCUCAAAAGAGACAACUACAAAUUGCUCCCGAGGAGGUAUAUAUCUUGUUCUUACUGCAGCUGAAGCUCUUAUUGGGAAGAUGUGGAUGUCAGCAUAGCUCUGGCAGGGAAUUUGUGCUAGCUGCAGAUGGAAAGAGUGAUAGAGCGUGGAAUAGGUAUGGAACAACAGGUCAAGGCUUUUGCCUGGUCUCUGAUAUCCCUCUGAUGGCCACGAGGCUGCCUUUUCUGAAGGAGGGUACAUUCUUGUAGCAAGAAAUGUAGUGGAAAAAUAACUAUUUUUUACUUAUUUCUCAAGCCCAUGAAGGAGCACGUAUAUGGAUAGCGGGAGACCAAGAAUUGAUAGGUAUGAAAGCAGCUCUGCCAACUCUUGUGCAGAACAUCAAACAGUGAAUUUAGACUGCACCAUCUUCCCAUCUCCCUGGAAAAACUUCCGAUGUUCUUGAUUUUAUCCACACAGGGAGGAUGAAAUGCUGUAAAUCUUAAUGAUUUGUGGGAUGGGGGAUAUUUCUCGCUUUCUAUAAAUACGUUAACCUCUUUGUCAGUGGGGAAUAAAGAUCUGCUUUGAAUUCAUGUUGCAUUUUUAAAGUUUCUUUCUAAGAUUCCUUUUUUUCCCCUUUUAUUUCCCGUCUCUUCUCAUGUAUCUCAGAAGAAACCAGCCUGCCAAACUGCUCCAGGAACCUCUUCUAAGCACAUUGGCCUUACUGCACAUAAGAACAACUCUUUCCGCUGAUGUUUUUUCACCUGCUCUGGAUAAAGCCUGAGAUACACCCUCAGUGACACUCCUGGGUUCUCCUUUUCCUUUCUGCUUUGGUGCAGAGGUGAAAGUAUCACAAGACAGUGAGAAAUGGAUGGAUUUACUUGACACAAAGAGAAAAUGCUGCUCUGCCAAAAUCAACUUUCUGAUGACAACAGCAGGACCAAAAAUUUGACUCAGGUGGUGUUGCUUUUUGUGUCAUUCAGUCACUAUGAGAAGGAGAGCAUUAAUUCCCAGAACAUUUAUACGCUAUU